rnacentral:rRNA from 1 species
AUUGAACGCUGGCGGCAGGCUUAACACAUGCAAGUCGAGCGGGGGAAGGUAGCUUGCUACCGGACCUAGCGGCGGACGGGUGAGUAAUGCUUAGGAAUCUGCCUAUUAGUGGGGGACAACAUCUCGAAAGGGAUGCUAAUACCGCAUACGUCCUACGGGAGAAAGCAGGGGAUCUUCGGACCUUGCGCUAAUAGAUGAGCCUAAGUCGGAUUAGCUAGUUGGUGGGGUAAAGGCCUACCAAGGCGACGAUCUGUAGCGGGUCUGAGAGGAUGAUCCGCCCCCCUGGGACUGAGACACGGCCCAGACUCCUACGGGAGGCAGCAGUGGGGAAUAUUGGACAAUGGGGGGAACCCUGAUCCAGCCAUGCCGCGUGUGUGAAGAAGGCCUUAUGGUUGUAAAGCACUUUAAGCGAGGAGGAGGCUACUUUAGUUAAUACCUAGAGAUAGCGGACGUUACUCGCAGAAUAAGCACCGGCUAACUCUGUGCCAGCCGCCGCCGUAA